AUCUCUCCCCCUAACUAGCACAUUCCUAGUGUUUGUUUAAAGAACCAAAUUAUUGACCGGGCACAGUGGCUCACGCCUGUAAUCCCAACACUUUGGGAGGCCGAGGCAGGUGGAUAACUUGAAGUUCAGGAGUUGGAGACCAUCCUGGCCAACAUGGUGAAACCCCGUCUCUACUAAAAAAUACAAAAAUUAGCCGGGUGUGGUGGUGCAUGCCUGUAUUUCCAGCUACUUGGGAGGCUGAGGCAGGAGAAUCGCUUGAACCUGGAGGGUGGAGGUGCAGUGAGCCGAGAUCGCACCACUGCACUCCAGCCUGGGUGACAGAACGAGACUCUGUCUCAAAAAAAAAAAAAUAUUUUAAAAUCCACUUGCCUGGUGGUAGAGGGUGGACAAGUAUCUGAUUAAUUACAAAAUGAAAGAUUUAUAAGUGAUUUUUUAAUGUUAAAUGCUGUUUCAAAUUAUUCACAUCGUUUCCUUCUACUAAAGUAGAGAAACAAUAAUUGAUUUUAAGUAUCUCUUUGAUGAUGAUGAUGCUUUCCACAUUACAGAUGGUGAAACUGUCCCUGGUUGAUGUAAUCCUGCUCGUGGUGUUUUCCAUGAGCAUUAAGCCCCAUCACUGAGAAGGCUUAAAGGCUCUAGCCAGGGAGUGUAGUGAGGAUUUCUGUCAAGUUGCAGAGUGGUUUACCCACCCCACUUUAGAAUGUGUACCUGUCACUGGCUGAUGUUAUCUGUGGAGGUCAUUUGAAGUCUGAUUAUUGGACUUGUUACCCUAGGCUGUGAAAGCAUUUAACCCUUCACUUGUUCUUUUCCAGGACACUGACGACCGAAACAAGAUGUCAGUAGUUACUGAAAGCUCUCGAAAUUACGGUUACAAUCCUUCUCCUGUGAAGCCUGAAGGACUUCGCCGCCCACCUAGUAAGACUAGUAUGCAUCAAAGCCGAAGACUCAUGGCUUCUGCUCAGUCCAACCCUGAUGAUGUCCUGACACUGUCCAGCAGCACAGAAAGUGAGGGGGAAAGUGGGACCAGCCGAAAGCCCACUGCUGGUCAGACUUCGGCUACAGCGGUUGACAGUGAUGAUAUCCAGACCAUAUCCUCUGGCUCUGAAGGGGAUGACUUUGAGGACAAGAAGAACAUGACUGGUAGCCUGGAAAAAUUUUGGGAAUGGUGGGAAGAAAUAGUAAGAAACUUGGGAUAGAGCAUUUUUUAAGGAAGCUAAAGAAGUAGCGGGUAAAAAUUCAGAUCCUAAGAAUUGGAGCAUCUCUGGGAGGGCUGACUCCAAGCUAAACUAUUGUUUGACACAUCCUCUCUCAUUUCCAUUUUUUUACUCUUUCCCCUCAGCUCCUUUGUCUAGCAGAUCUAAUUAUGCUUGAAAAAAAAACCUGCUACUUAGGAUCUUUGAGUUCCAGCUUAUUGGUGUUUCUCAGCUGCAAUGUUGGGAGAGAAAUAGGGGUAGAAUGUCCAUUCAUGAUAGAAUGUCCGUUCAUGAGUUGGGAUGGGUCCUGACCCCAUUCUCCCUCCUGUCCAGGUCCAAUGAAGCGUCAAGUGGCAGUAAAAUCAACCCGAGGCUUUGCUCUUAAAUCAACCCAUGGGAUUGCAAUUAAAUCAACCAACAUGGCCUCUGUGGACAAGGGGGAGAGCGCACCUGUUCGUAAGAACACACGCCAAUUCUAUGAUGGCGAGGAGUCUUGCUACAUCAUUGAUGCCAAGCUUGAAGGCAACCUGGGCCGCUACCUCAACCACAGUUGCAGCCCCAACCUGUUUGUCCAGAAUGUCUUCGUGGAUACCCAUGAUCUUCGCUUCCCCUGGGUGGCCUUCUUUGCCAGCAAAAGAAUCCGGGCUGGGACAGAACUUACUUGGGACUACAACUACGAGGUGGGCAGUGUGGAAGGCAAGGAGCUACUCUGUUGCUGUGGGGCCAUUGAAUGCAGAGGACGUCUUCUUUAGAGGACAGCCUUCUUCCCAACCCUUCUUGAACUGUCGUUUCCUCAGGAACUGGGUCUUCCUGAUUGUUGAACCCUGACCCGAAGUCUCUGGGCUAGCUACUCCCCCCAGCUCCUAGUAGAUAGAAAUGGGGGUUCUGGACCAGAUGAUCCCUUCCAAUGUGGUGCUAGCAGGCAGGAUCCCUUCUCCACCUCCAAAGGCCCUAAAGGGUGGGGAGAGAUCACCACUCUAACCUAGGCCUGACAUCCCUCCCAUCCCAUAUUUGUCCAAGUGUUCCUGCUUCUAACAGACUUUGUUCUUAGAAUGGAGCCUGUGUAUCUACUAUCUCCAGUUUGUAUUAUUUCUUGAAAGUCUUUUAACAAUAUGAUAAAACU
rnacentral:sRNA from 1 species